UACGAAGGGUGCAAGCGUUACUCGGAAUUACUGGGCGUAAAGCGUGCGUAGGUGGUUCGUUAAGUCUGAUGUGAAAGCCCUGGGCUCAACCUGGGAAUGGCAUUGGAAACUGGCGACCUAGCGUGCGGUAGAGGGUAGUGGAAUUCCCGGUGUAGCAGUGAAAUGCGUAGAGAUCGGGAGGAACAUCCGUGGCGAAGGCGACUACCUGGACCAGCACUGACACUGAGGCACGAAAGCCAGGGGAGCAAACGGG
rnacentral:rRNA from 1 species